UACGGGGGGAGCAAGCGUUGUUCGGAUUUACUGGGCGUAAAGGGCGCGUAGGCGGCCACCGCAAGUCGGUUGUGAAAUCUCUGGGCUUAACCCAGAACGGCCAAGUGAUACUGUCGCGCUAGAGUGCGGAAGGGGCAAUCGGAAUUCUCGGUGUAGCGGUGAAAUGCGUAGAUAUCGAGAGGAACACCUGAGGUGAAGACGGGUUGCUGGGCCGACACUGACGCUGAGUGCGCGAAAGCCAGGGGAGCAAACGGG
rnacentral:rRNA from 1 species